rnacentral:sRNA from 1 species
UUGGAAGGUGGGGCCCCACUGGAUUGUG